rnacentral:misc_RNA from 1 species
GUAAUUAUUAUGAUUUCAGACGCUGAAUGCAAAUACAUAGGGUUAUGAAUUGUCCAAGCGGCGGGGUGAGCCGCCGAGGAAACACGGGUACGCAAAUAGGGGGUGUAAGAGAGGCUGUAGCUAGCUACGACCUCACGCCCACGAGGGGCAAAUGUAAUGAUCCUUCCGCAGGUUCACCUACGGAAA